rnacentral:rRNA from 1 species
AUGAUUAAAGGUUGGCUUGCGCUUGAUGUUCGGCCUGAUGAGUGGAUUGUUCUGGACUCAGUUAAGGAUUGGUGGACUCAGAAUGCCACAAAGCAAACUCCAUCGAGAAGGCCGCUUAUCUCGCUAAUGAUGCUCAUCUCUUGGGAAAUAUGGAAGGAACGAAAUGCUCGAGUUUUCCGCAGCACUGCAGUUCCGGUGGGAGUGUUGGUCACUAAGAUCAAAGAGGAGUGCUCGCUUUGGAGCUUUGUUGGAGCAAAAUAUUUGAGUAACAUUAUGCCGCGAGAGUGA